GACGAACGCUGGCGGCGUGCUUAACACAUGCUAGUCGAACGAAGAGCGAUGGAAGCUUGCUUCUAUCAAUCUUAGUGGCGAACGGGUGAGUAACGCGUAAUCAACCUGCCCUUCAGAGGGGGACAACAGUUGGAAACGACUGCUAAUACCGCAUACGAUCUAAUCUCGGCAUCGAGGAUAGAUGAAAGGUGGCCUCUACAUGUAAGCUAUCACUGAAGGAGGGGAUUGCGUCUGAUUAGCUAGUUGGAGGGGUAACGGCCCACCAAGGCGAUGAUCAGUAGCCGGUCUGAGAGGAUGAACGGCCACAUUGGGACUGAGACACGGCCCAGACUCCUACGGGAGGCAGCAGUGGGGAAUCUUCCGCAAUGGACGAAAGUCUGACGGAGCAACGCCGCGUGAGUGAUGACGGCCUUCGGGUUGUAAAGCUCUGUUAAUCGGGACGAAAGGCCUUCUUGCGAAUAGUGAGAAGGAUUGACGGUACCGGAAUAGAAAGCCACGGCUAACUACGUG
rnacentral:rRNA from 1 species